GCCUCACCAAUGCCGAGUACAGAGGCACAGUCAUUUUCCUGCUGGCUGUAUCAUUUCUGAUAAAGGCCAGGAUGCCAUUGUCCUUCUUGGCCACCUGGCCACACUGCUGGUUCAUAUUCAGCCACCUGUCAGCUAAUAACCCUAGGUCCAUCCCUGCCAGGCAGCUUUUAAGCCACUUUCCCCUAGUCUGUAGUACUGCAUGGGGUUGUUGUGUCCCAAGUACAGGACUCUGCACUUGCCCUUGUUAAACCUCAUCCCACUGGCCUCAGCCCAUCGGUCCAGCCUGUUCAGAUCCCUUUGCAGAGCCUCCCUACCCUCAGGCAGAUUGAUACUUCCUCAUAGCUUAGUGUCAUCUGUGAACUUACUAAGGGUGCAUUCAAUCCCUUUAUCCAGGUCAUUGAUAAAGGUACUGAACAGAACUGGACCCAGCACUGAACCCUGGGGAACACCACCUGUGACCGGCCUCCAACUGGAUUUAACUCCAUUUACCGCAACUCUUUGGGCCUGGCCCUCCAGCAUUUUUUUACCCAGCAGAGUGUGCAUCUGUCCAGACCAGUGGCAAAAACAGGGGGCAUAUUGUGUCUGUCAGUAUCCUUGGAGGAUAUGGUCCUUUUGAAAAACGAGCAUUAAACAAAUUCUCUGAUGUAACUUGCUCAUCUAUAAGAUAGUGGUGUAACCUCUAUCUACUGCACUACUUGUUAAGAGGUUUUUUUUUGCCUAGAAAAAAAUGAUGGUGCAGAGUAACUUAUGAAGGCUUAUGUUGGCCUGUCCAAGCAGGGAAUUACUCCCCUCUAAGGGAAUGAGAGAUGGUGUGACGGCUUCUCUUUGAUAUAACAACGAAGAAGAAAAAGUAGUGGAUGAACUUGGAAGAACUGUGGACUAAGAAUCAUCGAAUCAUAUAAUGGUUUGGAUUGCACAGGACCUUUAAAGAUCAUCUAGUCCAACCCACGUGCAGUGAGCAGAGACAUCUUCAACUAGGUCAGGUUGCUCAGAGCCAUAUCCAACCCUGAAUGUUUCCAGGGAUGAGAUAUCUACCACCUGUCUGGGCCAGUGUUUUACCACAUUCAUGGUAAAAAAAAUUCUUCCUUUUAUCUAGUCUAAAUAUACCUUCUUUUACUUUAAAACCAUUACUUCCAAUCACAACUGUCCCUGCUUAAAACUUAGUCCCCAUCUUUCUUAUAAGUCCCCUUUAUAUAAUGAAAAUCAACGAUAAGCUUUCCCCAGAGCCUUCUCUUCUCCAGACCGAACAACCCAACUCUCUCAGCCUUUCUUCAUAGGGGAGGUGUUCUGACCCUCUGACUGCUUUUGUGGCCCUCCUCUGGAUCUACUCCAACAGGUCGAUGUCUUUGUUGUACUUGAGGCUCCAGAGCGGGAAACAGUACUCCA